CUGAACCAGCCAAGUAGCGUGAAGGAUGACUGCCCUAUGGGUUGUAAACUUCUUUUAUACGGGAAUAAAGUGAGCCACGUGUGGCUUUUUGUAUGUACCGUAUGAAUAAGGAUCGGCUAACUCCGUGCCAGCAGCCGCGGUAAUACGGAGGAUCCGAGCGUUAUCCGGAUUUAUUGGGUUUAAAGGGAGCGCAGGCGGACUCUUAAGUCAGUUGUGAAAGUUUGCGG
rnacentral:rRNA from 1 species